CGACAACGAGACGAGUCAGGAGAGGAGGAGCGAGGACUGAGGGAGCUUGCAGGAGCAUUCUAAUCCACAGAUAAAAUGAGGAAGAGGCGCCCUGAGCUCCUGACGUUCUUCACAUCCCACUUGGCCCCCAGACUCCUCCACGGGGCCCCUUCCGUGGAAGACCUUCCAGCGCCAGUGCUUGCCAACUAUCUAUAAAGCUCUGUGGGAUGAAGACGUGGUUCGAGACAACAGUAGCCCCAGAAACCAGGAUUUACUAGGAGAAUUCUAAGUAAGACAUACUUUCAGAGGAAGAACUGAAGAGCCACGGUGGGAACUGAGACAUCUCCAAGGAUCUUGGGAUUUAGGGACAACUCAGGCCACCAGGUGACUCGACUCCAGUCACCUUCCGACUCUGGGUAUCGCGGCUCAACAUUCAAAUUUCUAGAGAGUCUGAUUGGUCUAGCUUCCGUCUGGUGUCCACCACCACGAUUGGGGUGAUUGGGGCCUCUGAGAGCCUUCUAGAACCACAUGGAGGGGGAGGGGCAGGAAAACAUUAUGUCCGCUAAGGUAGCGGCUAUGUCUUGUACACCUCACACUGCCUGAUGCAGCAGGCGCUCAAGUUUUGUAGAGAAAAAGAAUGUACGAAUGCAUGAACCUGCCUCCAAGAGGUCACAUCAUCUGCCCCAUCCAUGCCAGGCUUGUCCUAGGAUUCUAUUCUUCCAGAGACUGUGCACGGCCUUUCUCACGACCUGUCCCCCUGAGCAGGGGUAGGGUGUUGGACCCACUGGGUUAGCAGGGUCACGGGGCCUGGAGGGCAGGUCAGACGCAGAUCCACCAACCACCAGGAUAUGAAGACCAAGUCUUAGAUGCAAGAUCAACCCAGAGGAGGAGUACGAAUGUGUAGUUCGCCAGAUUCUGCGCUCUGAGAUGCUCUCAGUAGUGGGUUUCCUGAGCACGAGGAGAUCUAUGAUCGCUGACUUUGCCUGCAACCUUCCAGCAAGAUGGCUCAUGCAAGCUUGGAGGGCAUGGGACCUCAGAAGUCACCUAGUGCCACCCCUUACUUUUUCAGAGAGGGGAACUGAGAUCUGGGGAGGUGUGGUGUUUUGCUCAAGAUCAUAGCGUAUUCACAACAGGUGUCUUCGACCACAUGCUGUUCAGCGCUCUUUCUACUGUGCACUAGUGCCCUCUGUGCUGGCGGUGGGAUGCUGGGGACCCUGACCUUGAGCUUUUCCUUAGUGAUCUAGAUGUUAACUGACUUAUUCCCUCUGGGGGCCACUUUAUUCCACUCCUGUUUGGGGGUCAGUUGGCUGCAGACCCAGUCUAGGAUGGUUUUGGCUGGGACAACUGGGCUCUCCUCCACAAUGUCCCUUGUGAUCCAGCAGACCAUCCUGGGUUUGUCCUCAUGGUGGAGGAAGGGGUUAAGAGGGACAGCAGAAGCA